rnacentral:lncRNA from 1 species
GGCCCAGAUAUGGACAGAGUAUGGUAGACUACAGUGAGAGCUUUUCAGUGCUACUACGAGUUGCCGUCAUCUCUGAGAUAAGCGGUGCAGAGAUCAAUCAUCAAUUCCUCAGCUGAGAAGCCAUGACAGUAGUAUUGGCUGGUUUGUUGUGAAAGAAAAACAUUGUUGAAUAUCGGAUAGAUUUGGCUGAUAAACUUAACAAGCAGCAAGUGGAGACCUGGCCCUGGCACACAACAUUUAGCUCUGCUGCCACUGACACGUUCCCUAAGUAGUAAGAGUAUCUCUAUCAAAAUUACUCAAAUAACCCUCUAUCAUCAAUUUAGGUGUUGGAAACUAAGGGC